rnacentral:rRNA from 1 species
UACGUAGGUGGCAAGCGUUGUCCGGAAUUAUUGGGCGUAAAGCGCGCGCAGGCGGUUCUUUAAGUCUGAUGUGAAAGCCCACGGCUCAACCGUGGAGGGUCAUUGGAAACUGGGGAACUUGAGUACAGAAGAGGAAAGCGGAAUUCCACGUGUAGCGGUGAAAUGCGUAGAUAUCGGGAGGAACACCAGUGGCGAAGGCGACUACCUGGCCUGUUCUUGACGCUGAGGCGCGAAAGCUAGGGGAGCAAACGGG